UUUUUUUUUUUUAACUGGGUAUAAAGAUUGCCUACCAUGAGACUCUGGAGAUUCAUUUUGAUAUUUCGAAGAUUAUGAAAGUCCUCAUCUUCAAUUUCAUUUUCCAGGGUGCCCAUUUCUGUCAGGUAACAUUGUAGAGUGUGCCAGCUGCACUCCUAGAACAGUAAGAAAAUCAUUAUGACUUGUUUACUGAGAACAAUUUUACUUAUAUCAGCCAUGAGACUGGUUUUUUUUUUCUAUAACGUAUAUUUCAUUCAUUCCCCUUGUACUGUAAGAUGUUAUAUAUGGCCUUAGUUCUGUGGUAGAUUAUUGCGGCUUUUGACACGUGAAUAAUUAACAUUUUCAAAAUGUGGGAAUAUCUCUUGAGAACAGAAGCUGUAGCAUCGGCUCCUAAAGCAGGCUUUACUCCCAGUUACCAUGUGCCAAUCAUGUCUUAGUCAAAGCCUCUGUCAGUUUUACAGUGGCCUUUUCAGAGCCAUAUUCAGUUGCUGCACUUUGGUUGCUUCGUCUAAUAUCUACAGCUGAUCUGGCUUUUGAAUAUGAUAAAUAACUUUACACAUCACUCUCACAAGCUAUUUCAGGCACUCAGUGACAAUGUUAUUAAUCAGCCUCAUACAUUUGCAUUAGAGUACAGGAGCUCUGAGGUAGUUAUGUCUUGAUGUUGCCAGCAUAUGAGAAAAAUGACUCAGAUAAGGAAGUGGUUGCAGAAUCUCACUUGAAAUCUUUACUGAGACAAGAUGACUGUUAAGUGAGAAUUCUUCUGGAUUAAAAACUUAACUGGAGGUUUAAAGUAGUUGACAGAUAAGUUGCGCAAAGACUUUAACUACUUCCCAGUACUAAGUAACUUGAUGCUCUUGUUUGUUGAUACACUUGUGCGCUGAAUUAAAAAGUAAUGCUGAUCAGCGACCUGUCAGUGAUGAAUAGUCUGUGGUAAAGGUGUACGUAGAAUGCUAGCUGCACUCUGGUGUGCAAUUUUUAGAAAGAUGCAAUCAAUAGUAUUCUUGUGGAACUAAGUCUUAGAUAUUAACUAAAUACCAUAAAACAUGAAUAUACAGCUAAUAUAUUCAGAAUGGCUUGGUAAAGUUUUAUUCCUGAAAAGAGCUAGAUAGAGCAUAACUGAAUUUCAUCAUUGGUGGAAUAUAGAACACUUAUAAAUUCUUAAACAGAACCUACUAGUGGUUCUGCAUCUAGUUUAGAUAAUACAUCGGCAGUUUCAUAUAGAUUGCUUUAAUUAAUCUAUUUCUAAGUCUCAUUUCAUUCUCGGUGUUUAAAUGAUUCUUUAAACAUUUCUAUGUUAAUUCAACCAUGUAUUAAGCAGGAUUAAUAGGGAGAAUUCAUUUUGUGUUACAUAUUGCACAGAACAAUUAGGCAAAAUUGCAUAUCACCCUGUUAAUGUUUGAAAACACAAAUCAAAAGUAGAAGUGUCUUUUAAGAACCAAACUCCCUAGGCUGAAUUCAGGCUAUUCAGAUUUGUAUUUUAUAUCUGCCCGUCUAAUAAGCCAGUUACUUUGGUGUAACUCAAUAACAUAAAGUAGCCAUACUAUAGAAAUCCUUCCGUAAACAGAAAAUUUAAACUCACCUGUUUCUCAUUUGGUGUGUAAAGAUCAAGAUGAAUCUUCUGUAGAACAGGGGGAGAAAAAGUUAUUAAUUUUUUUUUCUGAAAAAAUACAUAGGGGAAAAAAAAUAGAAAAGGAACUUAAAAUAAAAUCGUCCACUUACAUUCUUGCUUUUUUCCAGGAAUUUUAAAUCUUUUAUUAAAGCUUUAAGAAGUCGAUCUUUUUCUGUUGCCAGAGAUGCUCCAUAAGCGGUGGUCAUAAGCAUCACAGCUGAAAUACAGCUGAAGAUCAGUACUUUGCACAUCAUGUCAGUGUUCUGAUUAUCUGUAUGCUAGUAUUUGAGUGGUGAUAUAUGAUGAGAGCUGAUAAGUUGUCAUUAAGCUGUUUAGUGUAUUUAUACUUUUUUUCUGGGGGGUGGGAAAAAGAUGGGGGCGUCAUGUAAAAGAGGUUUUAUUACACAUUUUUUCAUGUGUUCUACCUGUAUGGCAAGAAUCAUUACUUUUGUUUUUCCUCCCCUGAUGACACUUUGGAAUUUUUAUAAAGCAAGAGGGAUUUUACCUACAUUCACUGGGGUAAGAGAAGCCCACACUCACUUUAGACAAUCUCUCUGCAUGAAACACUUUUUCCCUCAUGUGCUGUCCCACUCCCCCAUAGAAUAUGCUACUGCCACACAAAAUGUUGUUCUAAAGAUGUAUCAUUUAACCCUUUUGUUUGUUUAUCUGUAUGUAUUUAUCCUUCCACAAAUUCUGUGGCAUUUUUGAAGAAGAAAGAAGCAUUCUCAUUUUAGUAAUUGUUGAUGAAACAACAGGAAGAAAGUUGGCUUCCUGUCUGAAGGUGGUUUUACCUGUCAUCUUUUACACAGACAGUUAAUGUAAGCUGAGGUGCGUGAGUCAGUCUUUAUACCAUUAAAUUUAAAAUGUUUAUUGAAAAAAAGGGCAGGACUCUUUGUUUUGGGAUGUUAAACCAUUUUUCUGUUACUGUAUGUCUUAAUGCUGUUCUUUUUUCCUUGUGUGCACCUUUCACUUUUCUCCAGCUUAUAAUGAAAAUACACUGCUUUUUAAAGUAUUUACAGAUUUUUCUCACUGAUACCUAACCCACUGCGUUUUGUGGUGUGUAUCACAGUACUGAAGUUGAGAGUAAGCAGUCAUUUGAUGCUGAACUUGCAUGAUAUUGCUGAACUGUUGUUCUUUUCUGGUUCAGAGGUCUGUUGACUGAUAUCUUUGGAAUGCUAUGUGCAGAGUUUAAAAUUCGAGAGUUUUCUUAAUUCCGAGUAUAAUUCUGAGCUAAAUACUCCCCCUACUGCCCAGAAGUCUUUUACAUUAUAUGAAACUAUUCUUUUGCUUAGUGAAUUCAGUUGCUGAAACUGUGUGGAAUAAAUUCUGGGUUUGCAUGCUAUUGUGGGUUGAAGUUUUGUAGCAUUCAGAAUGAGCAAGACUGGGUAGGUAACUGCUUCAGCCGCCACUGCAUGUAAAACUGUGUGUGGAAAUUUACAGGUUCUGAUCAUGUAAUCUGAGGGAGAGUGAAUGGGUUCAGAGUUGGUUAGGAUACACUUCUGCUUGGAUUAAAUACAGUCCAUUAUUAUAAUUUGUCUUAUUAGUGUCUGUCUAUUAACCAUUAAACUGGUGUUAAUUAGCAGCAUGAUCCCAGCUGCUGGAGAGCUUAGUAUUAAUUUCCUGCUUUUGAAAUAAGUACAGGUAUUUAAUGUGUAUAGUCAUACGGAAGCCCAAAGUAGCUAUUGUAACUUGCAAUAUGUCGUAUUUGCACAGUUUGAGAUGUCUUCUGGCACUAUAUCUUUUGUCUUGCAGUUAUUAUUGAUAGUAAACAGUUUCAAAUUAGUUAUGACAGCAAAGGUGAACUGCUGAACGCUGCGUUCCCAGCUUUUCUCCAGGGUGCUUAUAAAGUUAGAUCAUUUUAUUCAAGGUUUUUAGUUGUUCGGUUUAAGUUAAUGUGUUUUGACUGUAUAAACAGAAAUAAUAGUGAGCACAAGACAUGUUUUUGUUUGUAAUGAAAUUGGCAUAACUGUUUACUGUUUUCAAUGCUAUUCAGUCUUUGCUACAUUGGCUCAAUAAUAUUGUGGAGAUUUCUCUCCUCUUUACAAAAUAUUACAUGGAAAUAGAUGUGGAAGCACUGACUGAGAUUCUGAAUCUGACACCUUUCUGGAGUAGUUUGUAGCACGGUUUAGGUUAGAGGUUGCUCUAAGCACUUCCUUUGUGCUGGAGCAUUGGGGUUUUUUGCAUCAGUGCUUAAAAUGCAACACAGCCAGCACUGGAUUAUUGCUUUAUUUUCCCAGCAUUCUGCUGUUUUCUUUUGCAAAUCAUGGAGAACUUAAAAAAAGAUAAAGCCUGAGCAUUCUGUCCAAUUUUUCAGCAAGGUCUGCUAAAAAACUAACACUGUUUGGGUAACUAGCUCACAUGCAUCUUUGACCAUAGGGCUUUUAAAAACAGUUUCCUCUUAAGUUGUUUUUAGGUCAUAGUGUGCAAAACUGUGAUUUUAGUUGUAGUUUAGGUGUAAUUGGAGUCAGAUCUUUAUCUGGUAAUGGUUUUUAAAGAAUAAAAGAGGCUUACAUUUCAAGGCAGCAAGGGCUGAAGUUUGAAUAUGCACUGUUUAAUAAAUUGUACAAAGUAGUUUGAGUGAUUAAUUUUCCUGUAACAUUUUGCUGCAGGCUUUGUGGUCCAGUGGGAGAAGGUGACAGAUCUUAUUUUGACCAUUUUUAUUGGAUUUGGGAGGAGAUGGCUUGGAGUAUAUUGAUAAACCCCGAAACAGCACAAACUCUGUUAUUGUUAACACAUAACUUUAUGUUUGUGUUACACCUUAGGUUUUAGGAGUCUGUCCUGCUUAAAAUUUAGUCUUCACUAUGCUAGCUAAGCAAUUCCCAAAGUAGUUAGACUACUUUUAUAGGCUCUUCUCUCUUCCAUGUGUACGUGGAAGACAAACCAAAUCUAACCACAAGUAGUAGAAAGAAAGAAGCGGAAUCUGACCACAAGUAGUAGAAAGAAGUUGCAUCUGCAGGGACACAGUCAGAACAUUUAUGGUCAUGGUACUACUAAGACUAUAGGUCAGCUGUAGAGCGGCCUUCUUUGUGACUGGUAUGUUGUCAUGAUGGUAUAAGCCCCCCGACAAUUCCCUGUGGUACUGUUGUGUUUCAGUAGAUGUGUCUGGAACUUCUUUGUCCUUUUUUUUUUUUUUUUUAAUUAAGUUUUUCUUACUUGUGUAUUUUUCACCUAAGUGCUGUUUGUCAGAUUAUAACAAACCAGUAGUUCAUUGUCUGCUCAGGGGCUCAUAUACUGUCAGAGAUGGAUAGCUUUUUCACACGAGAAUAUGCUGAUGUGCUAUAACUUUUAAAUACAGUAAUAUAUCUCUCUGUAUGGUGUUGGACUUCUUGCACUUGUCAGGUUUCAAUAAUUGCAUUCAGUCUGAGCUUGUGGUUUUUUACUAGAUGAGGAAUUACAUUGGGUUUUAUUCAGAGGUGCGCUGAUUUAGAUAGCUCUGCCAACUUCACCACAGGAACCGAAAUUGCUCCUUUAUGUUGCCUUGGAAUCACACAGGAUACGGUAGUGCUGCCAAUGCUGAGCCCCCAAAAUCCUACCCUUAAAAUGUAUUGGGAGCAGGUACUGGUGACCAUGUCAUCUGUGGGGUUUUGGUUUUGAUUUGGUUUUGAUUUUAAUGCACAAUUAUGAAAGGUUGGUUGAUUUCUAUAUUUUUGUUCUAAAUAAAAUAUUGUUACACUAAAACAACAUUAUAAGAAAAACACUGUAAAAUGUACCAUACCAGAAAAGCUUUAUGGAAUGCUUUAAAAGCAUUGCCUGAAUUUUUAAGGAAGAUUAGUUAGCAGUAAAGCAAAUGUAUGAAAGGAAAACAGUAUUUGUGGAUAAGGGAGAAGAAUGUUUGUGUCUUGCUGUGGUUUUAGUGCACUGUUUAUUGGUUUUGUAGGACUUAUGCCUAAUAUAAAGAAUAAGGGAUCAUUUUCUCUGUUAGAAAAUGAGUAAAAGUAGAUGACACACACUGACUAAACUGAUCUGUACAACUUCAAAGUCUGGAAAAUUUUUUACAUAGGAUCUGACUCCUCUCAAUUUAGGUUCUUAUUGUGUCUUUCUGAACUGAAAGAUUGCAUCUUUCACCCUCUCCUUCCCUUGCAAACCUGAUGACUGGUUAAUUUUGGAGAGAAGUUUUGGUUUCAUUGAGGUAUUAGGAAUCUUGUUCAUCAAGGUGCUUGCCUCCUUUCUCCAUCACCAGAUCAAAGUGGUAUUCAGCUAAACUCACUGUGAAUGUCUUGUUUGGUGCACUUCAGUUCAUGUGCAGGUUCAGACUCCUACUGUACAAGCGUGCUUUGACAAGAUUACUGUCAGUAGAGUCAUAGGAACCAUAGUGGAGUUCAUAUGUCUGAUGAAGGUGAUAACCAUCAAUUUGUGAUCAUGAUCUGUUGAUUUAACUCUUUCUAGCUGUGUUCUAGGGCUGUUUUAAAGGAUUUUGAAUAGUAGAGGUUGUCUGCUGUUUGAGAUCUCAUAAUUUAUAGGUAAUAACCUGUAGAAAGUAAGCCUUUAGUAUUCUUCCUACAUCAGUAGAGAGACUUAUGUAAAGAUUUUUGAAGUGAAGUUUUGAAUAAAGGGUUGAGUAGCAGUUUUUUAUCGUUCAAUUUUAAGCCAUCAGAAGGAGAUAGCCACAUCUUUCCUUCUUCAGCCUUCUCUCGGUCUUUUUGUUCAGUCAAGCAGUAGCAGAGGUUCAUGAUUCUGCCUGUAUUCAAAUGUAAAAUUCAUUUUAUUAAAGGUGUUAGGUUAUGUAGGAGUUAGUCCAAAGAACAGUAUCUGCUUGAACAUUGCCAUCAAGAACAGAAUGACAGUGAUUUGGAGAGAGGCCUGAGGAGAAGAAUUGUGUUGCACAGGUCUCUCCGACCCGGGGGGCUACUGGUAACAAUGGCUGCUGUAUGGACUUCACCUGCUGCCUCAGCCAAACUAGCCUCCGCGUCCUAAAAGGGAUUGUUGUAUGGGUCUCUCCAACCUGGGGACAGUAACUGCCGUCCAGAAGAUGGAUUCUCACCUGCUACCUCAGUCACACCUGCUCCCCACCCCCUCCCUGAAACAACGGCCAGCGAAGAAGAGCAUGCCCAGAAGCUCGCCAGUGGUCCUGAGUCCACCCAAUGAACCAGAAGGAGACCCCUGAACGCAGGUGCAGGUGGGUCCUGGCACGCAGAGCGGAGAUUUUUUGAGCCUGCGCAGUUAAGCCUGGAUUGUGAAACAAAGGUGGAGAUUGGCCUCAAACAGUGGGAGCGAGGUGGGGUGAAGAAGCAUAAAAGAUGACUCCCAAAUGGACACCAUUGAGAUCUGUCACCAAAGGAUCAUGGAUCACAAUGGAGGACCGGCAGGAUGCUGUUCGGGACCUGGGACCAUAGGGACACCUUUGGACCCGUGGUGGUAACCAACCUGCUUUCCCCCUUUUCCUUUCCCGUUUUCUCUACUUUCUCUAUCACGUGCCGCUUUACAGGCAAAAUAAUAAAGUAGCACCGUUUGAUUGAAUUUAUAACCCCUUGGCAUUUUGUUUGCCUUAAUUUUGCGUUUCAGGAUCAAGGUAUAAAUGAACCAUCAUGAGUCCAUCGCUGAAUGAACCAUGACAGGCUAAUAACAAAAGAAUACAAACUUUAAAUAAAAGAAACAGCACGAAACUGUGUGAGUUCAGUACACCCUGUAAAAUGCAGCACCUUCUUUCAAAGCCCCUGUGAUCCUAAAAAUCUCUAACCGAUUGAAUAGGUGAGUGCUGUAUUUUCUGUUGAGCGAGAACAACCAUGGAGAUACCCGAGUUAGAGCCAGCAAACUGUCUCCAUUUUGCACUACAUUUUCAAUAGAUACUACAAGUAGAACAGUUUUCAGAUAAAGGCAACGGAUUCCAUAACAUAUUGGUAUUUAAAGUUAGGGAUGAACUGAUACUUGUGUUUAUAAGGAAAGUUAAGAAAAAGCAGGAGAAAGCUUUAAAUGGUUUUCCUUUCUUGCUUCUCACAGGAUUAUAGCAUGAAUUUUGCUGAUUCACCAAUGUAUGUGGUAUCUUCUUCACUGCAAUGGUAAAGGACGAUGCGGGAAGGUAUGCUUUGCAUGGCUUGUGUGACAAGGACAAAUGAAACAAAAGGUAAAAUGGAAGCAAGGAGUUGCCAUAUUGGAUUAGAACAGUGGUUUUAACUAGCUGGCUAUUGUCCCUGAUUAGGGCAAGUACCCAGUGUUUCAGGAGAAAGUGCUGAAAAAAAAAACCAAAGUGAGUAAUUCUUAGAGUGAACUUUUCCUGUAAGAAUGUCAGUGGGUUUUUUUUAAAGAAAGUAUUUUGGUUUUAGACGUUUAACUAAAAUGAUCUCAGAAUAGGCAACGAUUGGGAAUCCCUUCACAAAACCUGGGUUUUUUAGUACUUUUUCAUUGAAAGGGCCAACAUUAAGAGUGAGCAAUUUAAAAAAAAAAAAGUAGUUUUAAUAAUUACGAACUAGCUUGUCCUUGGGAAAAGUAAUUUUAAUCUUUCCUUAGAAACUCAUGUUCCAGACAGUUCCUAUCCUUCUAAAAGUCUUGUUUGUACUUGUUUAAUAGGUGUGGAUUUAGUUGGGGUAUGGGGUGAAAGACUUACGGGAACCUUGGUGUUUCCCAUCACCAUAGUUAGCAUCGGCUAAGGGCAUGGUUCCUAGCAGCGUAGUGAGAUCUCACAGGAUAGGUCUCUCCCCUCUAUAUAUUUAGACAGUCGUGAAUCUGCCUUGUGCCCAGCUGUGUAGCCUGAUUUUCAUUUUAUAGAAGUGGUGUCUUGCCGCACGUCUGCUCAGUUCAUUUUUUUUCAAUGCAAGUCAUCGUACCAUAUACCUCUUAAAUGCUGUAGAUACUGAUUCUUCCUUGAAACAUUAAGAACCAUCUCUAACUGAAUUUCUCAAAGCAACUUUCACCCAAUGUAGAGCAUUUGACAUACUCACUAUUAUCAGAUUUAUUGUUGACAGCAGUGUGUUUUGAUUAUUCAUUUCUGUUGGUAUGUGAAAUACAACCAAAGAUCAUGGUGAUUGUAUAUCUCCACUGACUAGUAAAAAGCAAGAGCAAUGUGAAAAACAAAGGAUGAGGGGAAGGAUCUGAAGAGCUAGAGGCUGGUCAGCGUCACCAUAAUCCCUGGGUAAAUUAGAGAGCAAGUCUUUGGGGACUUGAAGGACAAGGAGGUGCUUGGCUGCGGGUCAGUACAGAUUUACUGAAGGGCACCUUCUGCUUUAACAGCCUGGUUGCCUUCUGCAAUGCAGUGUUGGGUUCUGUGGACAAAGAAGGAGCAGUGAAUGUUCCCUAUGUCAGCCUGAGCAAGUAGUGUUGCUGAUGGCAUCCUUUCAAGAUUGUAGAGGUGUGGUUUGGAUGGGAGGACUGCAGAGUGGGUGGCAAAAGCAGCUGCACCAUUAGGUUCAGUAGUGGUCAGUCAUUUGCAGCCUGUAGAGGUCUUGGAAUAUUUGUAGUAGGCAUCUCUUGUGGUGAUCAAACAUGCAAAACAUGCAAAAAUAUGUAUAUGGCAGAGAUGCAUCAUUUUAUCUCUGAAGUAUAUGUGAGCAUUAGCACUUGAAGAAGUUCACUUCUUAUACAGUCAUAAUUAUUUGUAUAGAAGUUGCUACAGAAUUUUAUUAGAACAAGAAUCUGAAAUGGCUAAAAAGUCAGGUAGCAGUAUGUGCUAAAUGUUAACUAUCCCUAACUUUUUUCCUUUAAUUGUUGGCCAAUGCAGUUAGGGCAUUAUAAGAAGAGCUUCUUCAAUACAUCUGAAGAAGAGCAACUGAAAUUCUUUUAAAACUUCACAUUUUCAGGAAGUAAAUUCACAGAGGUUGUGAACUUCAGAGUCAGUGGUUUUGUUUUAUGGUGAAAUGUGGAGUGAUUGCAAAUCUGAAAGAGAAGAUGAAUUACUGUGAGUUACAGCAUAAUGUGAAGUAGAGUUGAUUGAUAAAGGGUAAGGAUUAGGACUGGAUGUAACACAGGUUAAAAUGAUGUGCUGUUUUUACAGAGGAAAUAGUUUAAUUUUUGCAAGAUUUCUCGGUGAACUUGAAUGGCUUCUUUCUGUGUAGGUAUAAUCUAUCUUGGGUAGGUCCGGCAUACAUUUACAAGGAUGAUAAGCCUCUUUCUUUUUUUCUUUUGUGUCCAAAUGGAUUUUGUGAAGCUGUUUCCACAGUAAGUGCUUCCAGUAUCAAAACUUCAGUUACGUGUUUCCUCUUAGCUGAACGUGCACCAAACGUGCUAAAAGUGUUCCCAGUAAACCCACAAAAUAAUACAAGUGUUAACCUAUGCUAGUUUUGUUUCACACUUCUUUUUAGGUGAAGAGCUGUAGAGACCAUUACAAACGCACUGCUGAUGAGACACAAUUCUGUGAGUCUGGCCCACUGAUUUUGUUGGCGUAUGGGUAGAAAACUGAGCAGGUCCUUCAGGUUCUUGUCCUUUAUGAUUUCCAGGAAGAAGUAUGUGUUCUGGACUUAGAUGUUGGAUAUUUCUCUAUCUGCUUAAGAAAAAGGAAAGCAAAUUGGAGGGAUUCUGAAGAGAUGAGAUCAAAUCAGAGCAUUGUUCUUGAGCGGUGUCACCAUGGGUUAACUAUUACUGGUGCAGUGUGAUGGGAAGGAGCUACAGAGUGAAAGUGUCAUGAACCCUCUGGUAUUCUGCAGAGAUUCUUUCUGCAGUUACUGUAUAAUUACUCGUUGUUGUAAUGUAUACCAAAACUCAUUAAAAUACUCACACAGUGUUCUAGGUGCGUUACCUUUAGGAAUAGGCAUCAGUGAUACAUAAGCUGUUUGACCACCGGUGUAAUCAUCCUGGUGGGCCUAAGACAAAGAGGUGCCUUGUUGUGGCUGUAAGGAAACUGAGAUCUGGCAAACGUUCUAGGUAGCUCAAAUUAGAACAAGACUUGGUUUUGGUGGGGAAUGGGGGAGGUCAUUUAAAGAGAAAGAGUAGGGAUACUUUGGAGUAAGAGAUGAGGUUGCUUUCUUCCAUACUUCUCUUUCAAAAGGCAGUAAAUACUUUUGUGUUUUCAGGGCAGAGCUCAUCUGUGGUGUCUUAUUGGGUUGUCGCUGUACUGUGCCCCUCCCAUGUCCUGGAAGUACAAUUAAAUGGCAGAUGAAUUCACAUCUUACCCAAAUAGGACCAGUCUUUGACCCAUUACUUCGUGAGAAAGGACCGGAGGGAGUGACGGUUCCUGCGGCUUCACCACCAAAUGUGAGACAAGAAACAAGCACAUGGGAGGGCUUCUUAUUCCAGGGCUUCUGAUUCAGGAGCAGCAUCAUGUUGUACCAUGCUGGGAUACCUCCUUGGCACAGCAAGAAAUAGUGAGGACAGAGGAGCAGCGUGACAUCGUGCUGGACGAUGUGGUCUUUCUCUCCUUGGAGUGACUCCACGUACCUGCUCACAGACCAACUUCUCAGCUUCUGCUGUGUGCUGCCACUGUAUGUGCUGCAAACCAGUGGAUCAGCUGUCACAUGUUGCUUGUACUUCAGCUUCUGCAGCAGAGAAGAGGCUCUCGUGUCCUGUCGCAUAAUGAAAGGGAAGGCCGAGACAGAAGCCAUCUCUGCAGAUCUCAGGAUGUAGUAGUGCAAGUGCUUUCUUCAGCAGCAAAGCCAUUUAAAGAACUUUCUACUUCAGGUCACUGCCAUUCCGCUGUAUCUCUGUGUCACAGUUUACUGCAGUCUGAGGAGCUUCUGUUACAGUAGCUUGGGUCAUUGAAAUGAUCCAGGUUAAAAACUUCCGCUUUCAAAGACCUUGAGAGUUUGUUUGAUAUACUUUGUCUUGACUGGAAUCAUUUCACUAUCAACUCUACUUCCUCCUUAGCACAACUGACAGGUUUGCAAACAGAAGUGAGUCACAAGAAGUCAAACUCUUCUUCUACAGGCUUUGCCACUGAUAAAAACUGUCGAUCACCUACGCAACAAGUAACUACUUCACACACAAGGCUGGGGAGGGGCGGUCAGCACCUUAAGCGAACCUUGGAAAAAUUAUUGUGUGAUCAGUCAUCACACUGAAGCAGCAGCACCCAUUUGGUAAAGGUAGCCUUGGAUAAAAAGCUGAAUGCUGUGGUUUCAGUGACUUAUCGUUGAAACGUUGUGGUUUCUGUGUAGGAGGCUGUAUAAGCUGGACACAUUUGACAUCCUUGUUACUGAGCUGUGAAAUCUGUACAUCUAAUUUAUGAAAAUUAUCUCUGGUUCAAUUUUAUUUUUUUUUUAAUGAAGUCAACAUAUUUUCCUUGCAUUCAGUGGAAACAAUAAUGGAAAUGUUUUAAGAGGUACCGCGAGCCUGUUUUGACCUCAAAAAGGAAGAAGAAUCAAGAUAUUCUUGAUUAUGAUUAAGGUCUAAGAAGGAAAUUAAAAUUAAAUAAAGGGUGAACACAUUUCUCAAGUGUGGAGACAAAGAGAGAAAUUAACUGGGGAAUGACAUAGACAUUAUAAAAUAAAAAUCUUCCAAGUGAGAGUUUGACUAAUAAAUAAAUGAAAGAACCACAAACAACUAAGUAAGGUAAUUUAGAGUAAACCAUGGUACUGGUACCAUUUAGGGUAGCCAGCAGUAUCUAUACUCUUUCAGGUGGUUUAAACAAAUGAAUAAGUUGACAUGCAAGGUAAAUCCAAGACUAAUGACUCUACUUUAAAGGCAGGACAAAGAAGGAGCUGCAGCAGAAGCAGUUGCAAUCACAGAAAAACGUGAUUGAACACUAGAUCAGUUAAAUGUUUUUUUCUUUCAUAGUUGAGUUUUAUGCUCCAUUCAGUGAAUUGAUUCCAUUUGUUGAAAAGUGAAAUGUGCUGAUGUUGGAGCAGUGGACAUAGCAGGUGUGCACAGCUGGAGUUGGAAGGAGCAUAGAGGAAAUUUCUUGGCUGCUCUGUGCUGUAUAGUUCUUGCAGAAAGGCAUCCAUGUCUGACCAGGAGAGUCAUGGCCCCACUGCAUUGCCUUUCCUUCCUCUGGUGAGUACCUACCAUCAUCCCCAGAAAGCCAGGCUGUGGCAGUGCAGGAUAUCUGAGUCCCUGGUGUUGGCAAAUCCUGUUCCUAUGACUGCCCAGACCUCUGAGUUUUCACCAACAACAACUUUUGCCUCUGGCAGGCAAGUUCCCAGAAGCACGUACACCAUUCUCUCUAAGUGAACCUAUGGAAAUGAGCAAAGACCUCUUAACAGGAAACAAAGGAGAAGAAAAAGAACAUUCAAGACUCAACAUUUGAUACCCCAUUCCUUGAGCAGACAGUGCAGUUUCUCUCAACUAACUACUGGGAAAAUGAGAGAAAAACAAGGAGGCAUUUAAGAUGCUAGUCCAGAUCAAUGGAGGCUUUUGAAAAUCACUUUUCCCCCAUAAUCAACUGCAAGUGUGGAAUAUACAGAUAACCAAGGAAGAACCUUUUUUUUUUUUUUUUGGUCUGUGCCUAUGUUGUAUCUUUUUCUGUGUAACUAAGACUACAGUUCUUCAGAUCCCUGGUUGGUGACGUUUUUAGGUGGUUUCUUAGCCACUACAUCUCCAGUUGUCUCUCUGGGCCUGCCUUCCUCCUAAUCUACUUGCCUGUUGCAGACCAGGGAUAGGCAGUGAAGCAUCAGUGCUGUACCUCUGCACCAGACACCCCUUCUCCUUCCCAGGAUUGUCACAUCUACGGUGCUGAGGAGCAAAAGCAGCUCCUUAAAUCUCCCCUUCUGCAGACUUGAGCCCUGGAUGUUGAAGGGCUAGCUAAAAAGUCACAGGAUGUCCCUUUUUUUCCUCUUCUUCCAGCACCAGUCAUUCACCAGCUUUGGUGUUUGCCUCUCAGGGGACAGGUUCAGUCAUCCAGCUGAAAACAUAUGUUGUAGCAGCAGGGAGUUGUUAGGCUGCACCAGACCUCAUGGUGGUGCUUAUCCUGGGGAGUGCUUGGCAGUCUGGGCACAGACACUGCAGGUACCUUGCUGUGCCUUCAAACCAGACCUUCCCCUGCCAUCAACUGAGCCACUGCUGGCAACUGUUUACUUGCUUGUAGCCCAACGGCAGGCAAAAUGAAACGCUGAGAGCAUAAAUCACUAGAAAUAUUGCAUUUUACUUGCCCUUUGGGCUGGUCAAAGAAUGCACAUGUACCAGGGCUAAAGCCACAGCACCUUGAUCUCCUGGAGUAGUUGUGUGUCCAUAGAGAGGUGGUAGAUGCCCCAUCCCUGGAAACAUUCGAGGCCAGGCUGGACAGGGCUCUGAGCAUCCUAAUCGAGCUGAAGAUGUCCCUGCUCGCUGCAGGGGGGUUGGAUAGAUGAUCUUUGAAGGUCUCUUCCAUCACAAACUAUUCUAAGAUCAUGCACACAGAAUCACAGAAUAUUAGGGAUUGGAAGGGACCUUGGAAGAUCAUCUAGUCCAAUGCCCCUGCCAGAGCAGGAACCCCUACAUGAGGUUACACAGGCGGGUUUUGAAUGUCUCCAGAUUAGGACACUCCACAACCCCCUGGGCAGCCUGUUCCAGUGUCUGUCACCCUCACUGAGAAGAAGUUUCUUCUCAAAUUUAAGUGGAACCUCCUGUGUUCCAGGUUGUACCCAUUGCCCCUUGUCCUAUCAUUGGCAGUCACUGAGAAGAGCCUGGCUCCAUCCUCAUGACACCACAUGUCAGGAGAUGCUGAUUGGAGUACAGAGGCUGCAAAAUAAUUAUACUUCAUAUUGCUGCACAGCGGGUGACAACAUGAAGGGAAAUGGAAACACUAGAGCAGAGAACAGGAAAAUUCUUUGCUUCUGUUAGAGUGUCAGAAACGGCCUGAAGACAAAAGGAGACAAAGAUGUGAUUUCCAAAACAAUAACCAGAGAUCAAAGGAGGCUGUUUCAAAUCACAGUUUGUGGUGGAUCUGCAGGAAAAGGUUAAAGAACAUUAUUUUGAAGGGUGCUGUGAAAAAUACUGAGUAUUGCAGAGAAGCAAUAGACUCUGUAGCUUUUUUCUUGCCUUUCUUUUUGCCAGUGCUCUCUGCCUUUCUGUCUUGACCAUGCUGUUUUUUUCUGAGAGAAGUGGCACUGUUCACUUCACUUUAAAUUGCCUUUAAAUUGAGCAGAGAUUAAAUAGUUUUACCUUCUGGUAUAAUCAUAUAUGCCAUGGAAACUCUCCUCACUCGUUCUCUGAGCUGUCUUUUUUCCUGCUCUAUUGCUAGAUCUAGUUCAAUGCUUUUAAGGAUUGAACUGCAUGAAUUUUCUCUUUUAGCUCUGUUCUUCGUCAUAUUGUGUUUUAAGUUUGUCUAAUUUCUGUCUAAUAAAUAAUUAGAAAUAUCAAAAUAUUUCAUGUUGACACUUUCAUAUAAGCAUUUUGGUUCUCCAGUUAUGAUGUUUCAUUCUGAAAUUUUGUUUUAUUUGAAACAGUUUUAAAAGGUGGAAGAUAUUUUUUCAUAGUUUGAUGCAGAAUAUUCAACUGGAGGUGAGCUUUUUUUUUGCUUGACUAUCUCAGUAAUUGCAAUCUGUGUGUGGCACUUCAUACAUCUUCCAGCAAAUAAAAAAAUCAGAUGCCCACCCUGUUUUAGGCAAUCAGUCUAACAUUUAGUAGUCAUUCUCUGUGCUUUCUUAGAUUUUAGCAUCAGCUUCCCUGGCCCUGCCUUUACUUGCAUGUGUCCUGCUGUCAGUCCGUACUCUAACGCAUUUGGUGACAUACUUGGGUGACUAAGUGUGAUUGACCAUGAGGAGCUGUGGAAUAUCUGCGAAAGCUUUGUGUAGCUCAGGGAAGAGCUGGCCAGUGCGGAUCUGGUUAGGUCUGGGGACUGGAGAUGGGGUGAUGUCCUUUCUAUCUUAAUAUUUGUCUGCUUCUAACAGGGCCAGAGCAAUUUUCUUUGACUUGCCAGACCAGGCUAGGGAAUCUGGAUUUACCAACUGCUAUUAGAGGUAGUAGUUUCCUUUAUUUUUUUUUUCUCUCACAGAAAGAUAAAUAGUGAGGCUUUUUGAAUUAAACAGUGUCUUUAUAUUUAACUUGUUCCUUUCUGUUUUAAAAAAUACAAGUGCAAUCUCUUUAUAAGGUUAAGAGAAUGGUCAGGAGAAGCCAAUCUUUUAUAUGAUAAAUUGUCUUCUUUGUAUACGAUUAUAUUUUAUACAAUACUUUGUUUUCUCAUUAAUGUAAAUUAUUCUUCAGUGUUACUUAACAUCUUCCAUAAGUUAGUGGAAGAUGGUCUAAUAUGGGUUGAUGUGGACUGCUAUGCCUUACUAGUUCUAUAGACCAACACAGCACUUUUUUGUGUGUGGUGGAAAUGGGGUAAAAAAAGCCUUAAUUGGCUAUUUGUCAAUUCCCAUUUUGCGCACUGACUGAAAAGGCCAGGUCAGGCCUGGCGGUCCUUUGGCUGACCGAUGCUCUGGACCUCUUCCAAAAAAUCCGAAUUCCUCUUUCUGAAGAAAUUCAAGGGAGCUCACACCAUGGGACACUCAAGGCUUGUUUAAGAAAAAGCCUGUAACUCAGCCCUGCAUUUCUUCAGUUUAAAUGGAAUAGCCCAAACUAGAAUAUGAGCCAAGAUUUCUCUAAGAGCAAUGUGUGUGAACAAGACCACUGUUAAAAGAGAGGUUAUUGCACUGGUUAUGAAUCAGAGCAGCCAGAAUCCACACCUCCAUCACUUCUCAGUCUAGUACUGAGAAAGCUUUUCAGGUCUGAUUAGUCAUUGAGUUAAGUGUAAUAAAUGUCAGAGAAACUAAUUAACACCCCCCCUCCCUUUCCCCGCCAAUUCAGUUAAAUGUGAGGCGUAGCUGCUCUCUAGUGGACUUGUGAAUAGUGUCAGCAAUGUAAGUACACUUAACAGCCCCAGAAAAUAAUCAUGUAGAUACUCUGCUGGGAGACAGAAGGUGAAAACUUCCUACACUUGUGAAUUCAGCUGCUUCUUUAUUUUCGCGCUGUCUCUCAGCACUUUAGGUAGCUGACUUACACCAGGGUUACAGUGAAAUGGCAGAAUGCAAUAGCAGCUUUAAAAUCAAUAUCUCCUGUCCAAGGCUAUGGUGAGCAAUAUUUAAUUAUCUAUAUGUUACUGUUUUGUUUGCAGAUGACAGUGUUUCCAUUUAGCAUCACGCUCAAGUGGCAAGUAUCUUAGAGCUGAGGAAAAAACUGUUUCAUCAGAAAAGGGGAGAAGGUGUACAAAGUGCAAGUACUUAUUCCCUUAUGCUAAAGCUGUACAGAAGGAAUAACCUAAAGCCACCAAAAUGCCCCCAGAAAUAAUCUUUUGCCUGUGUGGAUUUAUUGAUGGGUAAUCUUUAAAAGAAUUUCAGAACAAAUCUGUUGGUUACAUUAUUUUAUUGCAGUAACUUUAACAAAAAUCAGUGACAGAUUUCAUAAGCAGCCCUGAAAUAACUGAUGGACCAAGAAUGUCAUUCAAACCCACUAAAGAUUAAUAAGAGUAACUGAAAACUUUAGUCUUUAAUAUAAUGAAUAAAAUUAUGUGUACAACAAAACAGCCUGUACUUAACCCAAAGUUAUUCAUAUAUAUAUGCAAGAAGGUUUGCUUAAGAUGCAGUAUGCAUUUCAAAAGCAGCUUUAGAAAUAAUCUGGAUAUCCCAUUUCUUAGAUUUUUAGUGAAAUUACUAAGAAAAGCGUUCCCAGCAUAAAGAAGUCUAGCAAAAUAUUGAGAAAGUGAAAGGAGUAUUCUACAUUAUGAAGUCUUAUAGAACUAUAAUAAUUUGUGUGUGUGUCGAAUAACAGGCUAUUGUGGUGCAAUGGUAAAGACAAUGUAUUUGGAGUUGUAUUGCCUAAUUAAAUUUCAAAUUAACAAUACCUGCCUUAGCCCCCAGAAAAUUAUUAAAAAAAAAAAAAAGAAAAGAAGAAAAAAGGAAAAAAUAUUUUCCGAGUUAGCUGAGGGGAAAAAAAUUAUAUAGAACAGAGUUGGCAAAUGGCUUCUUUUGGCUUCUAGUAUCAUGGGGGGGGUUGUUAUUUGCUUUAAAAGGAAAACGUCACUAGGUUCCCUUCUCACAGCAGCGGGGCAGAAGUACGAGGUAUGGUUAUGUGGGGUCAGCAAACACCCAGAUCAUGCCAGCUCUCUGCCAUCAGAAGCAUUUUGAGUACCUUAUGAUGACACCAUUCUUUCCCAAUUAAUAAAAAGGCAAUUUGUAUUGCAUUGAUUUCAGCCUUGUAAGCUUUGUUCACAAUCAUCGCACCACUGUUAAAGCAAGUAACUUCCCAACUUCCCCUGUGAAAAGAGGACUUGCUGAAUAGGGAAGCAUAUGAAUCUUGCUGAACCUAAAGAAAGAUGCUUGGAAAAAAUGCGUGUUCAUGGUGCAUGUAGCCUGAAUGAUUCCGGGUGGCUUGUUACAAGAGAAUGGGAAGUCAUGACUUUUGCUAUCCUUAUUAACCACCAGAUCCAACCUUUAGUUCAGUGGGAGUGAGGUAACAGUGGUUUAAAUGGAAAAAGCUCAGACUUGGAAAACAAGAAAUGCUUUUAGCCUCCGUAGUGAACAUAACAGGCUCUUCUGAAGGAUAACAUCAAUUUGUGAAAACAUGUCAGUCUCAACUGCGCAGAGGUCAAAAUAGAUAUAUAUAUGAAAACUAAUAUUUUCUAUUUCCUUUUUGUUCAGCUUCCUGUAUGCUGAGCCCAGGUUGUUUAUUCUUCUGAAUGAUGCAAUGGGUUAACGGAUAGUAUGUGGGUUAUCAGUAAGGAAAUCUGAAGGUACAGGGACCAUAACAGUACCUUAUGUUUCAGUUUGAUUAAACUGGUGGAAUUCUGUGUAAAUGGAAAAUUGUGAAGGUGUAUAGCCUUCAUUUUAUCAAGAGGAUACAGUAGGAAGUAACCUAAAACACAAACUAUCGUGUUACUUCUUAUUUCUAAAGAAUUGAAUGCCUUGAAGUCUUUAAAUUCAAGAUCUGUGCAGUCUUUUUACAAAAUAUAAAAUAUAUGCAUAGUUCUUCCUGCAAAGGCUGAGAUUUAGAGAGAUGUGAGGCUCAGGGGAAGCAUUCAAUGGAUUUAUUUAGGAAUUAAGAUAAGUUGCCAGGAGGCUGCCAUUCUCUAACUUAGCUUGCACAAGCUAAUGAGUGAGUUUCAUUCUGGAGACUGUUUCUAUGACAGGCAGUGUCUUGCAUGGAAAGACACUUUACUUGCUUUAGAAAUCUGAGUAAAUUGAGGAUAUUUCACAUCAAACUUUUAAAAAAUACCUCUCCUUUUUGUUUCUUUGCUUCUUCAGAGUAUGUACAGCAAUGCAGGGUAAGCUCAGAUGCCUUUUAAAAAUAAAAAGAGUUGGUGCACAGGGAAGCUGCCCUCAACCCCGCACACUUGAGAGCUUCAGCAUGCAUGCUAGCUACACACGAGGGUGCAGCAGGGCUUCCCCACAGGGACCCACACCAGGCUGAAUCCGAACCCUUGUGCAAUCUCACCUGCUUCCCACCAGGUAAGCCAUGAGAGACACUUGAGUGUCUGCCCACAGUAAAGGCAGGCUGGAAUACCAGCAGCAGGACCAUUUCAGUGGUCAUGUUCAUCAUCGUGCAGCUUGAUGCUUCUAAAACACAUAUGGAUAGUAGGUAUAUGCCCUUUGUGUCAUACACAAAAUAGUUGAUACUGUACGUGGACAGCAAGAAGAUUUUCUUUGAGGUGUGUCUGAUAUAUGUAGUUUUGCUUAACUGCUGUUGAUUGAAUAAAGUUCAAUAUUAAUGUUUCUUAAAAAACAGCAGGGACAGAAUGCCCUUGGUUAACCCCACCUUAGCAUGUUUAUGUUUUGAAACCAGGGUGGGGUGGUUUAUAUUUUGAUAGACCAUUAUCUAAGAGGGAAGCAAAUAACUUGAAACAUUUACCUUUCAAGUGCCUGUGAUCUGAAUAGUGGUUUGUUCCUCACUGAUAGUAUUGCUUAUGUGCUGCACAACUGCCUGUGAGGGCAACGGGGAGCUAAGGAGAGUUGUUUACACUAAAGGUUUCAGAUGUUCUAUUUGAUGUGACUCAGUGUGGAGGACAGCAGCAUCAAAUAUCAUCCUUCACCCAAAUUGCUUUCUCCAUAUAUUCCACGUAUAGUGCAAUGCUGAGCAGGUCAAUAAGCAAUCCUAGUAGGUCACACACAGAGAAACAAGUGAGCAGCAAGAAGUUUAAAAAUAAUGGAGAAUCGGUAGCAGGUAAAUCUUGUGCAGGCUGCUUACAGUAAUUGGUGGUUUAUGCUUGAGCGUGUCAUGAGGCCACUCAGUCACAUAGGGCAAGCCUUUUGUGCCAUUCCUCUCUUCCCUGAGCUGUCAGAGGGGAAGGAACUUCUCUUCCUCUGUGAAGAGCUUUAAGUGAAAAAAGUUACAGAAGAUCCCCAGCAUUACUGUUAAUAGAGGCAGUCUUUUACGUGACUGUGGACCAGACCUAAAUGUAGUGCUCCGAGUUUAGGACAUGGAAAGGAGCCUUCAGCCUCCUUUCCAGCCCUUUACUCUGGUACUGAUGAAAUUAUAACCCUAACUUUCCACUGUGCUGUACUGUAGAAUAAGCAGGGCUGAAAGUAUAUGAGCUACAGUAAUCCUUUGGGCAGUACUGUACUACAAAGGAUAAGUGGGAUGGAGCGUGCUCUGACUUUACUUGUUGAGUAGCCCAUACACCUCACUGUGCUGAUUUUAUGUAGUCCAGAAAUUUGUCUCCAAGCUCUUUGUAUGGCCAGAAUGAAAUCAGCUUGGACCAGGUUCCAAACAGCUGGCUUGCAGUAGCAUAGACAUCACAUCAGUGCAACAGAAGCCUCCCAGACCCUCUGCUGGUUAAAUAAUCCUCUGGUACCUCGUUGGAAAGCUGAGCAAUCACUGUGCAAAUGGUGCCUGAAUGCAGUAUACAUUAAUGGUUUGCUGGACAAUUUUGGCAGGAGUUUGUAGAUUGAGAGGUUUGAUGAGGAGCAUAGAAAGCUCUGUAUGACAUCAAAGCCAUUCUCCAGGCUCCUCCUAUUGUUAAGUUCGUUGCUUACAUGUGGGGCAAAAAAACUAAAUACUAAGUCCCACAUAAGUAGUUUUCAUGCUGCUGUGCCUGUUUAGGAAAAGGAUACAUCACUGGAAAUACUUGGGACAUGACAUGACAGGACCAGAGAGGUCGCUUUGUUUUCCCCACAUCCAUACUUCGUAUAUUUUUCAUGUGUUUAAUUGUAAUAAGUGGCAAGAGCAGACAAUCUAAAGUGGGAAGCAGAGCGUUCAGCCAUCCAGGAGGUGCAGGGACAUACUACCGCGAGUUAGUGCUAACAGAGUAAAUGAAGGCUCCUGUACACCUCUUCUCUGCCCCCACUCCCCAAGGCCUGCAAGGUACUCAGGUAUUAAAGUGAUCACCUUAUAAAUGGCUAUGGAGAAAGAAAUGAGCUAUAUGUUAGAUUUAAAAGGACUUUUCUAGUAGAAAGAAGAGAUAUUGUGAUCUCUUUUUUGGGAUGUGUCUCUGCUCAUCUCUUCCCAUAAUUUUCUUCUUGCCCCCAUUCCCCUGGAUUUCCUCCAUUUCUUUCUGCUCUCAGUUAUAUGAUGAAGACUUCUUUCUGUCUUGCUUUUUGCUCUCUUACCAUUACCCUAGCAACACUGGGGCACUCUGUCAUCUUUACCUGCUGCACCGAGCAGUAAACGUGCUUCUCUGGGUUAUGUGACAUGGCAAUUGUUUGCUGGGGAGCCAUGUAAUUGGGAUCAUGCCUCUUGUGGUCAUGAACAUGGGUCUCACCAGCUGAGAGAAGAACACCACCCAAUGGUCUGAGAUUGAUAAAGGAUCUCUAAUGCUCAGGUAACCUCAAACUGCAGUUCAAAGGGCUGAAGAUGCGGUUACAGUAGGUGCCUUGGAGAAGAAAGGGUGGCACCAGAGAGGUGAAGCAGAGUCCGGUAUCCUUUGUGGAUAGAACAGCAUCAUGACUCAGGAGCACACUUGUAGGAGACAGCUGCCCUUAGGAGCUGAGCCCCGUGUUAAAUGACCAAAGAGGUCCUUCAGGAUUUCAGCUCCUUGGUCAGACUUGCAGGCCAGCAGCCAAAGGUGGGCCCAGGUCCCAGGCAGCUGCAGAGCACAGGAUGCAGUCAAGGGCCCAGCAGCAGGGAGCUGCACCACCACUGCUAGCCAGCUCCCCCCAUGCUGUUCCCACAGGCAGCUUCUGGCCAGGACCACCUGCUUGCUCCUGGCUGGGCACACUGGGCAUCUGCACCAACCCACAUCCCUGCCCGCUGGUCCUGCCUUCUCCAUGGAGCUGCACCUCUGGGAACCACCACUGGGCAUCUGCACCUCUGGGAACAGCUGCUGCAGUGGGACUGCCAAGCCAUCCUCUUAUCCUCCUUCCAAUCCUUCCUGGCAAACAGUUUUCCCAGGAUUACUUCAUCAAGUAAGUUAGUUUGCCCAAGACUCUGAGGACUAUAUGUACAAGCAAUACUUUUCUCCUAAAUUUAUAGGCAAGAGGUACAUAAGUAAGUGACUUCAGUGCCUAGCAUGUACCUCCUGCUGCAAGGCACAGGACCUGCACAUUCUCAGCACUGGUAAGACUCUGUGGCACUAGUCACAGCUAGCGACUACCCGCAGUCACUCUGUCUGGCUGAACAAGAAAACUUGUGGUUUUAUUUCCGCUUCCUUGCUAGGAGCCUCAAAGCCAGGCUUCCCUGUUUGGGGCAAGAGAUACACUCCCAAACCUGACAUCCCUCUUAUUACUUGUAAUUUUAGCAUCUGUUUCCUCCUUGGCUUUGACUUUACAUUCACAUUCACUUUGUCCCUGUGAGCACGUCAGCACUUGGUGUUCCUGCAGCAUGGUAUUGCUGCGUCCUCAUCCUCGCCUUCCUCCCCCUCGCCCCAGCUCCUGCCAUCUCGGUGCAUCUGACACGUCACCAGCCAGUGGCUGUGACAAAACUGGCAUGUCCAGGUCACAAGCCCUGCACUCCCCUGCUGGCUAAGGAACAGCUCCCCAAUGCCUCACUGGCUUUAAAGCCCAUGGAUCUCAGUUUCU